rnacentral:lncRNA from 1 species
AAGCCGCCCCCGCCGCGGCACCGGCCGGCGUGAGUUCCGCGGAGCCUCGGCGGGCGGGGGUGGCAGCGGGUGGCGGAGCUUUAGCGUGCGGCGAGCUCCUGGGGAGCCCCUCCUUAGCCGGGCCGCUAAUGAGGGGCUCGUCUCUUUACAGGGGCUUUACCUUCAAGAAGACUUCUCCGGCCGGCGCCCUGCCCAGGGAGCCUCGGGGCCUCUCCACCGCCUCAGCACUGAGGGACAAAGACGUUAACACCUCCCUGGCUGCGCUUGCCUCGGCCCUCCCUGCCUCCAAGGACAAGAAAACCCAAAUCCAGGAUUUCUUCCCAGCAGCAGCCGGCCCUCAUGGACAGGGCCUCGAGACGGCCUGUGCAAGCCCGACACUUGCCGGGUGUGGGGAGGCGUCAAAAGGCCCCGUGGCCACUGGAAAGAGGAGUGGGAGCGAGGGGCUGCACGGUCCUGUGGCCGGCCCCGUCAUUACCGUAGAAGAUGAGUGGGAUGACAUUGACGACUUCGAUUUGUCAAGAAUCGAAAAGAAGUAUUGCAGACCGCCAGUCCUGUCCCCCAAAGGGCAGCCGGCCUCCUGCAAGGCCUCCCAGAGGUCAAACCCUCGCCGGGAUGAGCCGCUGGGCUCUCCCGGGACCAUGGGCGAUGACGUGGGGCCUUGCAGCCACGGGGAGGCCUCUCUAGAAGCUGAACAACGGCCCUUGUCGCAGCAAUCUCUCAUCUGUCUUGAGGAUUCAGCUCCCUGCAGCGGUAACAAGGCUGUGGGUGAGGACCUUUGGGAGAAUCUAUCUGCUGACGUGAUUUUGGAUGAUGACAGGGAAGAGGCUCACCCAGGUAACAGUUUAUUUUAAAGUACCGGUGAGCUGGGAGGAAAUAUGUUCGUGUUUGCACACUGAGGGCUUGAUCUUUCAGAAAGCAGAGGGAGCUGCAUGCCCGUAUCUGAGGAGCGGUUGUGGGUAUGUGAUUUCGUUUGGGUGGCCACAGCGUGUGAAAGUGCCGGGUUGUAAGUAGUGGAGC